UACAGAGGUCUCAAGCGUUGUUCGGAUUCAUUGGGCGUAAAGGGUGUGUAGGUGGCGCCGUAAGUCAGGUGUGAAAUUUCGGAGCUUAACUCCGAAACUGCAUUUGAUACUGCGGUGCUUGAGGACUGGAGAGGAGACUGGAAUUUACGGUGUAGCAGUGAAAUGCGUAGAUAUCGUAAGGAAGACCAGUGGCGAAGGCGGGUCUCUGGACAGUUCCUGACACUGAGACACGAAAGCGUGGGGAGCGAACGGG
rnacentral:rRNA from 1 species